CUCUGUUUAUGGUUUGUUUUAAAACCAUAACACAAUGUCACUAACUUGUCCAUUCAUACAUCACCCGUAUCACAGUCAUUGAACACAGAACAAGAUGUAGUCACAACUUUCUAUUAUAUGAGAGUUCUUAGAAGGUCGAGUUUCUAUCCCUUCAAACUCCCUCUGUUUCAGCUAUGUAUUGAUAUCCAUAUCCAUGUUACAUCAUAAUGACUUGAACAUAAUAUUUACAUAUAUAUGACAAUAAUAAAUGAAUAAAAUAUGUACAAGUGUUGAUCCAAUAAACAAUGUAAACCAAUGAGAAAGAUCUACUUGCUCAGCUACAGUCAUGUCUUUGUAGAUAAAAUCAAGAUCGUAACUUUCUAAAUAAUAAUAACUGUGUAUCACUAUCAUAUUCCUAAUAAAGACACAUAUAGCAUAGUAUUUUCA